rnacentral:rRNA from 1 species
GGGAUCAUUAUUGAAUGGCCCCUGUGCCUUCGACCCUCAAAACCGUGGAAGAGACAUGUGCUUCGGCGCCUAGGCGUCGUCUUUAUGCAAGAAGUCUGUCUUGAUGUCUGAAUCGAAAAUGGAAAAUCAAAACUUUCAACAAAGGGUCUCUUGGCUCUCGCAUCGAUGAAGAACGUAGUGAAGCGCGAAAUGUAGUGUGAAUCGCAGAACAUUGUGAAUCAUCGAAUCUUUGAACGCACAUUGCGCCUCCCCUUCACGGGUGGGCAUGCCUGUCUGAGCGUCAUUUAAGUCGAUAGGCCCGAUUGGGUCUGUGUUGGGCCUCGCACAUCAGGGCGUCGCCUCGAAUGAAUCGGUCGAAUGUGCGGACGAGAUCCAAUAGGACUGACCGUUCAGAGACCAUAAACCUCUGAUUUGACCUCAGAUCAGGUAGGGACACCGCCUGAACUUAAGCAUAUCAAUAAGGCGAGGAACAGAAACCAACAGGGAUUCCCUCAGUAGUGGCGAAUGAAGCGGGAAAAGCUCAAGUUUGAAAUCUGGAGGCGACUUCAGAGUUGCAAGCUGAAGAGGUGUCGACCGACGUGGUCCGGGCCCAAUUUCCUUGGAACAGGAGGUCAUGGAGGGUGAGAACCCCGUCCGUGGCUCGGGAGCCGACGUCCUCGUGUCGUACCCUCGAAGAGUCGGGUUGUUUGGGAAUGCAGCUCAAAAUGGGUGGUAAAUUUCAUCUAAAGCUAAAUAUUGGCGAGAGACCGAUAGCAAACAAGUAGAGUGAUCGAAAGAUGAAAAGUACUUUGAAAAGAGAGUGAAACAGUACGUGAAAUUGUUGAAAGGGAAGCGUUUGGCAUCAGCCCUCGGCGCUCGACGAUCAUCUGGGCUUCCUGUCCGGUGCACUUGUCGAACGUCGGGCCAGCGUCGGCUUUGCCCGUGGGAGAAAGGUUGUGGGGGAUGUGGCUCCCCUCGGGGAGCGUUAUAACCCCAUACGUCAUACCACGUGGUGGGGCCGAGGUCCGCGGUCAAUCCUAGGACGCGGCGUAAUGGUUCCAAGCGAC